ACUGCAGUGUCUGUGCAUCCCGGUCUAUUUAAUGGCCAAUAUCUGAUUACAAACUAGAUCAGUGCCAACCCAUCACAGUGCACAAUUGCACACACAUUCACAAUCUAUGGAAAAUUUGGCAAUGCCAAUCAGCCUACAAUGCAUGUCUUUUGUCUAGGGGAGGAAGCCUGAGUACCUGGAGGAAUCCAUCGAAGCAUGGGGAGAACAAGCAAGCUGCGCACACAGGGAAGAAGUGCGCUUUGAACGCCUUACCCUGGAGGCGUGAGUCAAAAGUGCUAACCACUAAGUCACCGUGCUCCCCAUGGAACAUCAUUUGUUCUUGCUUUCGAUUAGAACCAGAACUACUGUCUGAGCUGCUGCUGUAGAAAAUUAAUCAACACUUUCUGACCAAUCAGACACAUUUACUGUGCCAGGCUUCCUGAUCUUGUGGUGCCAUGAAGUGAAAGGACCAACCAGUGUUUGUGUGUCGCCCAACCCUUGAGUCCUGAUUGGUGCAGUUGGUUACAAAGGAGCUUACUCAGUGGAAAAAAGCAGUGGGUGUCUUGAGGCAUCACAGCCUAUUAGAGCAAUAAAAGCCAAAGCUACUCAACAGCCCAGUCAGGUUCCACCAGCUAAACUCAGUCAUGCAAUGAAGGACUGAAGGAGGGUUUGCACAAAUGUCUACAAAUCAUACUGACUAUUCAUUCAACCAAUCAGUUGAUGGUCAAACAGCAGAAGAAUGAGAGGGAUUUUGUUGAAGAUAAAGAAGACUUCUAAUAAACUGCGCCUACAGUAG
ensembl:lncRNA